rnacentral:tRNA from 1 species
AGGAAAGUAAGCUAAGUUUAAGCUAUUAGGUUCAUACCCUACUUAUGGGCGUCCCGCCCCUCUCCUA